UGUUUGCAUAUUUGCACUAUCACCAAAAUAGGACGGCCGCUGCGGUGAGCCUCGAAGCCUGGGGCGCGGGCCCGGGUGGAGCUGCCGCAGGUGCAGAUCUUGGUGGUAGUAGCAAAUAUUCAAACGAGAGCUUUGAAGGCUGAAGUGGAGCAGGGAAGAGAACAC